UUUUAGCCCCGAUGGUAACGGUAUCCUUUUGUGGCGGGGUUCGCCACAAAAGAUAUAGUGAACAGCGGGAAUAGCU
rnacentral:sRNA from 1 species